UCCAGAUGAAUAUUACUCCGUCGAACAGGCACAAGGCUGACGUAAUUUGUCCUUUGUUUACCUGAUUUCUGAAAACUUCAUCGUCGUUUGGAUUUGGGGUUCAAACCGUUUCAACCCGAACACAGAGAAAGUGCCGGCAUGGCUUUCCAGUUUGGCAUAAUUGAGAUCAUCCUUGGCGCAGUUGCUGGCUUCAUGCUCUACAUAUAUGUUACGAGGCAACGAAACUGCUGGAAAAGCCAGAAUGUUGUAUAUGAGAAUCUUCCUUUCAUACUUG